UGGGGAAUCUUCCGCAAUGGACGAAAGUCUGACGGAGCAACGCCGCGUGAGUGAAGACGGCCUUCGGGUUGUAAAGCUCUGUUAUUCGGGAAGAACGAUUCGUUUGUGAACAAUGAACGGAAGUGACGGUACCGAAAGAGAAAGCCACGGCUAACUACGUGCCAGCAGCCGCGGUAAUACGUAGGUGGCAAGCGUUGUCCGGAAUUAUUGGGCGUAAAGAGCGCGUAGGCGGUAUGGUAAGUCUGUCUUAGAAGUGCGGGGCUUAACCCCGUGAGGGGACAGAGACUGUCAUACUGGAGUCUCGGAGAGGAAAGCAGAAUUCCUAGUGUAGCGGUGAAAUGCGUAGAGAUUAGGAAGAACACCGGUGGCGAAGGCGGCUUUCUGGACGAGCACUGACGCUGAGGCGCGAAAGCGUGGGGAGCGAACAGG
rnacentral:rRNA from 1 species